GGUUAGGGUGUCUGGUGGAGAGGGGUAGCUCUCUGUCUAAGAGGAGCUCAGAUGUUGCUGGCGAGCCUUCUACCGUUGGGUGCCUUGGGCGCUAGUACUGCAGGCGAAGGUCAUCUGCUGUAGAAGCUCGGUCAGGGGCUUUCUGUGGAUGGAGUUCGAUUUCAUGCAGAAUCCGACAGAAGGUCGACCGACAGUGGAUGUCGGAUGGUGCUGGAGAGGUUCACCUGCUGGAGGGGUCCGGCUGCUGGAGCCCGUGUGUCGUAGGAGUUCGUCUGGAAUCUGUCCGCUACAGAAUUUCGAUCGGAGUCUAGUUCUCGUAGAAGUCUGGAUGGGGAUCAUUUGUUGAGGAAGCUCGGUCGAGCCUGCCUACAAUAGCAGUUCGGAAGGAAUUCGUUCACAAUAGAAGCUCAGGUGGAGGCUUACAAUAGAAAUCCGACGUGGACUGCUCGUAGUAGAAAUUCGAAGUAGACUGCUUGUAGUGGUAGCUCGGAGU
rnacentral:lncRNA from 1 species